rnacentral:lncRNA from 1 species
GCAAUUCAAUAUUUUCUGCUUCCAGUGCUAAUAUAUUGUUGACAGCACUGCCCCUGGGCUGCUGAGGAGUGCUGCUGAUCCCCACCACCCUCUGCCUCUGGGUGCUGGAGUGAACAACAGAAAGAGGGUCUCUCUCAGGCUCCUCAGUGAAAAUUGAAGCCAAGUGGAAAAAUGAAGAAAAUCUCUGCAAUAAAGGCACACCAGACCACCAUAGUUGUUAAAUUGGAGGGAUCACCACCUCCCAUCAGAACCUGCACUAUCUUCAAGGGAAGGGUAGCUGGAACCUGCAGUAGAAUCUUGCAGAAUUCAACCCUACAGGAGCAUCAGGCCUGAUUAUUCAAGCCUGGAAAUCAGAAGAAUUAAAAAACAACUAGACUUCUCAGUGCCCACUGUAACUUUCCCUCAAUAUUGGCUACAAAGAGCCACAAGAGAUAGUUCUGGACUCAAAUCAGGCUACAGAGAACCCCUAAGAAAUAAGAAAUUUCAGCACAGGCCAGGAAUGGCAUGGGCCCUGCCCUCCAUGGUGAGAAACCAGCCCAGGGCUGUGUUGCACACAGAAAAGUCUGGGUCUGAUGUUACCAACACUACAUACUUGAACUCUUGACCUGCUGCCUACGUCCACCCACCG